ACUCCUACGGGAGGCAGCAGUGGGGAAUCUUGGACAAUGGGCGCAAGCCUGAUCCAGCCAUGCCGCGUGAGUGAUGAAGGCCCUAGGGUCGUAAAGCUCUUUCGCCUGUGAUGAUAAUGACAGUAGCAGGUAAAGAAACCCCGGCUAACUCCGUGCCAGCAGCCGCGGUAAUACGGAGGGGGUUAGCGUUGUUCGGAAUUACUGGGCGUAAAGCGCGCGUAGGCGGACUAUUAAGUCAGAGGUGAAAUCCCGGGGCUCAACCCCGGAACUGCCUUUGAUACUGGUAGUCUAGAGUUCGAGAGAGGUGAGUGGAAUUCCGAGUGUAGAGGUGAAAUUCGUAGAUAUUCGGAGGAACACCAGUGGCGAAGGCGGCUCACUGGCUCGAUACUGACGCUGAGGUGCGAAAGUGUGGGGGGCAAACAGGAUUAGAUACCCUGGUAGGAUAGCG
rnacentral:rRNA from 1 species